AAAUUGAAGAGUUUGAUCAUGGCUCAGAUUGAACGCUGGCGGCAGGCCUAACACAUGCAAGUCGAACGGUAACAGGAAGAAGCUUGCUUCUUUGCUGACGAGUGGCGGACGGGUGAGUAAUGUCUGGGAAACUGCCUGAUGGAGGGGGAUAACUACUGGAAACGGUAGCUAAUACCGCAUAACGUCGCAAGACCAAAGAGGGGGACCUUCGGGCCUCUUGCCAUCGGAUGUGCCCAGAUGGGAUUAGCUAGUAGGUGGGGUAACGGCUCACCUAGGCGACGAUCCCUAGCUGGUCUGAGAGGAUGACCAGCCACACUGGAACUGAGACACGGUCCAGACUCCUACGGGAGGCAGCAGUGGGGAAUAUUGCACAAUGGGCGCAAGCCUGAUGCAGCCAUGCCGCGUGUAUGAAGAAGGCCUUCGGGUUGUAAAGUACUUUCAGCGGGGAGGAAGGGAGUAAAGUUAAUACCUUUGCUCAUUGACGUUACCCGCAGAAGAAGCACCGGCUAACUCCGUGCCAGCAGCCGCGGUAAUACGGAGGGUGCAAGCGUUAAUCGGAAUUACUGGGCGUAAAGCGCACGCAGGCGGUUUGUUAAGUCAGAUGUGAAAUCCCCGGGCUCAACCUGGGAACUGCAUCUGAUACUGGCAAGCUUGAGUCUC
rnacentral:rRNA from 1 species